AACGAACGCUGGCGGCAGGCUUAACACAUGCAAGUCGAACGCCCCGCAAGGGGAGUGGCAGACGGGUGAGUAACGCGUGGGAACGUACCUUUCAGUUCGGAAUAACUCAGGGAAACUUGUGCUAAUACCGGAUACGUCCGUAAGGAGAAAGAUUUAUCGCUGAAAGAUCGGCCCGCGUUGGAUUAGCUAGUUGGUGGGGUAAUGGCCUACCAAGGCGACGAUCCAUAGCUGGUCUGAGAGGAUGAUCAGCCACACUGGGACUGAGACACGGCCAAGACUCCUACGGGAGGCAGCAGUGGGGAAUAUUGGACAAUGGGCGAAAGCAUGAUCCAGCCAUGCCGCGUGAGUGAUGAAGGCCUUAGGGUUGAAAAGCUCUUUCACCGAUGAAGAUAAUGACGGUAGUCGGAGAAGAAGCCCCGGCUAACUUCGUGCCAGCCGCCGCCGUAA
rnacentral:rRNA from 1 species